UAACCUUAGGAGUGUUAGCCAGCGCCACCACUUACGGCCUUGGCCGCGGAUGUGGACCAUCCUUUCUGCAGGAGGCGUCACGUCUACGUGAACUUUGGGUGAAGGUAAACCGUCAAUAAACCCACACAUACUAUCUUAAGGCAUCAAAGCUGCUGGAUUCGAGACCCUCGCUAUGUAAUGAACGAG
rnacentral:lncRNA from 1 species